ensembl:lncRNA
GUCAUGGUAUUCUUCGUGCGUGACAUUCAUACUGGAAACCGAAGCGCGCUACAGAAAUCAGACACCCACUAAAAGCUCUGAGAUUGCACCGAGAGCAGAACAGGUCCCUGCACAGCACCGACCUCUGACCAGAAAAAAAAAAAAGAAAGAAAGAAAGAAAGAAAGAAAGAAAGAAAAGAAUUAAAAACAAAAGUAGGUUAGAUUAGCAAACAAGAUAGCCCCAUGGAGGCAGGGAAUGCGCACACACGGCCCCGUGCGUGCAGCCGUCCCCAGGCUGGGACUGGUGGUGGCUCUGAGGCUGUGUCCCUCUCCUGGACUUGUUUUGUUCUUUCUGUACAUGGCCGAGGAAGGCUUGCGGCCUGAAGGAGUUAAUUAAGGAGUUAAUUUCGGAACAAAAAAUCCUACGGGGGCUCCGUUUAUUUAGCGAAGGAUGAGGCACUUCUUCCAGGAGUGCAGCUCACCUGGGAAGAGGCCUCUGGGAUGCUCCAAAUCCAUCGCUAUGGGGUGAAGGCCCCGCAGCCCCUCACCCACCUCCAGCUCUGAAGUCCCCAGCGCAGAGCUGGGGCAGGAGGUGUCCCACAGCCCCAUCCCCUGCGGCAAAGGCACCUGCAGCACCACAGGGACCGAGCGCAGCCCCCAUGACGGCCCCAUCCCUGCAUCACUGGGGCCACAACCCCUGGUGCAGGAUUAGGGCAGGGAGUACCCCACCAACCGCUGCCCCCUCAAUGUCACCUCCCAUUCGUGAGGCUGCCACCAAGUGCAAAGUGAUCAUCCCUUUAAGCCAAGCAGGCACAGCAGAGGGCCAAAGGCGACGAGGCCUCGCCUGCUCAGCACCGACAGGAGCAGGGAGGGGGGGUCCCAAGGAGAUGCACCUCUUCUCACACCCCAAAGCCACCACUGCUGCUUUUGUGGCUCUGGAGAGGCACCGGGACGCAGCACGGCAGGAGGUGUCCUCGUCCUCCCCACGGGUGGAGGACGAGAAGGCAUUAAAUUGGAGGAGAAACGCCAAAAAUAAAGAAAGCAACCCACGAAUGAAGCCAGGCCGAGCUCUGGGCCCAGCGGGGCUGCUGCUGGCUGACCCCACGCAGGGGACAUUCCGGGACCGGGCGCGCACUGAGCCCACCCCGGAGCGGCCCCGGAACGGACCGGCGCAGCCCCGGCCCGGCAAAGCGAAAGCGUCGCGCUGCAGGAGAACGACAAACAGCAAAGGGCUUGUUUUGUUCUGUUUUGUUUCUCAACCCCCUCCGCUUUUUUAAUUUCCUUGCUGUAAAACAAAUUGAAUACAAAUUAAAAACAAAGAAAAUAGGGGGAGAAAAAAAAUGGAAUGAAGGGAAGCACUGAGGGCGGCCGACGGGAUGGGUCCGUGGCACCGGGGGCAGCUCCGGCUCCGGGAAAGCCGGCCUCGGGGCGAUCGGUAGCACCGUGCCAUCCCCCCGCCGGGCUAAGGGAUAGCUCUCCGUCCCCCUCCUUCGCAGCCCCGAGCAUUUCGGCUCCGAGACCCGUCCAGAGCCCCGCGCUGAUGGCUCCGAGCGCCCGCGGAGCGGAGCGAGCCGCAGCGGGAGCCGCGCCGGUUGCGCUCGUCGACACAUUUCUGUCCAUUGCCACGGCCCCGGGUCCCCAGCAGGAAAACCGUCGGGGAAGAGCAACCGGCGGCCUCUCAGCGCAGCCCCGCCGCAGGCCCGGUGCGAAUAAAUAAACGCACACGGCUCAGGGACGGGGCAUCAAUCAGUGCGCCGUAUUUUCAGCCAGGGCCAUACAUUUCCAUACCCGAGCAACGCUUGGCCGCCGGCCCCAUCCCUCCCCCCACGAACCCGGCUGCAAAGAGCAGCGCAAACUGCACGGCCCCCCCACGGCCCCCCACCGCAGCACCGCUCCGUGUCCCCGUGCCGGCGGAGCCCCGCCGGGUGCACACUUACGGGGCCGCUUUUUGCAAUAAUAACCACAACGGCUACAAAGAACGCGAGAGAGUCCUGGGAAGGGAAAAAAAAUGCAUUAAAAAAAGAAAAAAAAAAUUGUCACCGUCUUUUUUUUUUUCUUUUUUUUUUCUUUUUUUUUUUUUCCUCCUUUUUCUUUCUCCUGAAGGAUUCCGGUACUGAGAGCAAAGCCAAAAAAAAAAAAAAAAAAGAAGAAAAAAAGAAAAAAGAAAAAGAAAAAAAAAGAAAAAAAAGGAAUAUAUAAAGAUAUAUAAUAGAUCAGAAAAAUGGUUUUGAAAGGGGAGAAAAAAAAGGGUCGGGAGCGCACGGGGGAGUCGGGAUGGAAAAAGCUCCGUUCUCCCAAAGCGAAUCCCACGAGCAGAUGGAUGGGUGACCGCAAAUGAGCGAAUAGAAAAGAAGCGAUGGAGGGAAAAAUAAGGGAAAAAAUAAGGAAAAAGAAUGAGAAAUGUAAAAUCCGGUGCCAUGCAGCAGGAUGCUGGCUUCGGUCUUAGGGGGGAGGGCGACUCGCUCAAUGCGAAAGCGGCCCCCGAAAAGCGAGAAAACAACAAUAAAAAAACCCAUCUCUUGUUACGGAAAAAGAAAAGGCGGCGGCGCUUCUCGCAGCUCUCGCCCCGUGCCGCGCUUUGGGGGCUCCGCACCGCUCCGCUCCGCGCCCCGGGACCCCCCGAACCCCUCCGCUCCGCGCC